UUCUAGACAAGCGCCUGGACACCAAACUGAUUUGGAGGGAUUAAUCCCACUCCCUGAUUCCAUAGGUGAGCAUGAAUCCCAGCCUGGACAAUUAGAAUAAUAAGUCAGGAGCUAUUAGGGCAAUCCUUGCCUACCUUAUAAGGACAAGACAAUCUGCCUGAGAAUUAAGCAAACAGAAAUAAUCUGAGAAAUGAAAAGAGACUAUUUGUGAUGAAUACCUGGAUUUAGCCAUGCCUGAAGCUGAUAUUCCUAGGACUUUUCAGCUGUGAUUUACUUAAAUCAGUUUGAGUUGGAUUUCAGUGGCUUCCAAUCAAGAGUUCUGCCUAGAGGAUGAAGACAUAGGUCAGUGGCAGAACACUUGCCUAGCAUGCAGGAGGCCCUGAGUUCUAUCCACAGCACUGCAACUCAAUUUUUUUUUUAAGUCCUCUCAUCCUAAAAUCUUCCUUCCAUCUCAAGAUGGACUUGGCUGCCCUUCUAUGAUUCCAGAUUAACUUCAUCCCCCUCUAGCAUUGCCCUUAAUACACUGUUAAAAUGAUCUGUUUAAUUCCCUGAUUUCCUAUCCCCUUUUUAGAUUAGAAACUUUUGUUUAUGUUUUGUUUUUCUGGCAGUACUAGGGAUUGAACCCAGGGCUACCCUACUACUGAGCUAUAUUCACAGCCCUUUUAAAUUUAUUUUUCCUCUUUCCACUUUUUUUUAUUGGUGCAUUAUAAUUGUUACAAGCCCUUUUUUUUAUUUUGAGACAGGGUCUCACUAAGUUUUAGAAGCUGACUUCAAACUUAUAAUUCUUCUGCCUCAGACUCCCACGUGACUAGGAUUACAGGUGUGUGCCAUCAGACUGGCUACAUUAGAAGCUCUUUGAGAGUAAGAACUGGGUUUUAAACCCAACACAAUGACACAAGCCUGUAAUCUCAGCUACUUGGAGGGCUGAGACAGUAGGACUCCAACGUCUGCCUGAGCAACUUAAUGAAACUCUAUCUCAAAAUAAAAAAUAAUAAGGACUGGAAUACAGGGGUAGUAGCACAUGCCUAUAAUCCCAACAAUUCAGGAGGCUGAG
rnacentral:lncRNA from 1 species